rnacentral:lncRNA from 1 species
GAAGGAGCUCGAGCGGGAGGCAAGCGAGAGGCUCUUUUGCUCCUCCCAAAGCAGGGGGCGGCUCCACUGUGCUUCUGAUGACCCGGCCGCCGCCGCCGCCCUGCAACCGCUCCCCGGGACCCCUCAACGCUGACACUGAUGACCCGCGGCGGGGGCGCUGGGCGCGGGGUGCGCAGGCCACUGGCCGCGGGCUCUCGGGCCCGCUCCUGCCGCCGGCUUCUGCUGCUUCCGCGGUAAUGACACUCGGCGGAGCGGCCGCCAUCUCUUCUGUGCCGUGGACACUGCCAGAAUUUGUCAAAGGUCCUAGGAAGAAAAGGCUCUUUCACCCCUCCCCUCAAUGAACAGAUGGCGUGUUUGGACUGUUCGCAUUCGCUCCUCAUAGGUGGGAUCCUGGAGGAAGUUAAGGGGUGCUCCGUUCCCUGGGGAUGGGACAGCAGCUCGCCUUUUUACUAAUAGCUAUAAGGGACUGUCAGACAUUUACCUGACUAGACCUUCACCUCAGAGCUCAGAAGGGGAACAGCUCCAGAACUAAAAGAGAGAGCCUCUGGCAGACCCCAAAAGACAGCAUGUGGAGUGAAGCUGGGCUUCCCUGCCCAAUCACUAGGAUCAUUUAUUGCACAAAUACCUGUAUUUUAAGCUGCAGAUUAUUGUGAAUUUUUGUAUUUUCUUCAUUUCCAUUUAGCUUUUUUUCAAUUUUAGAAUAGCCUUUCUCUAGAUAACUCGAGGAAGUGGGAGACGGAAUUUCCUUUGUUUCUGUCUUGAGCCCAAAGGGACAAUUGAGUGUCAGGUAUGACAGGGAUAAAGGGAGAAACUCAGAAAUAAUGCUUUUGUUUUGUUUUGUUUUGUUUUGAGAUGGAGUCUCGCUCUUGUCGCCCAGGCUGGAGUGCAAUGGCAUGAUCUUGGCUCACUGCAAACUCCACCUCCUGGGUUCAAGCGAUUCUCCUCCUCAGCCUCCCAAGUAGAUGGGCUUACAGGCAAGCGCCAUCACGCCCGGCUAAUUUUGUAUUUUUAGUAGAGAUGGGGUUUCACCAUAUUGGUCAGUCCGGUCUUGAACUCCUGACCUUGUGAUCCACCCACCUUGGCCUCUCAAAGUGCUGGGAUUACAGGCAUGAGCCACCGCACCCAGCCAGAGGAAUGUUUUGGGUGCUACACGUGCAGCCCCUCAUGACUGUAUCUCCUCAGAGCUCUUUUCUUCACAUUCCUGAGUGCUUUGUGUUUUGUUUAUUUAAGGGACAAAUGAAUCUCUUCCCACGCCAUGGGAUUUCCCUUGAUUUUUAUAUUGGGAGUGAAAAGAUGAAGCAUGAGACUCUUCAGCUGCAUCUCGAACUGCAUCUAAUCCCAGCACAUCUCUCUCAAUCUUUGAUUAAGUCUGUUCAUCUAAAAGAGAGACACAGGGGAAAAAUGGAAAUGGGACUUUGGAAGAAUGACCAUCCACAUUCCCAUCACAGCCUGAGAUUUCCUACCUGAUUGAGAUUUUCAGUAGAUGGCCCUAGGUCUAGUUUCCCACUUUGGACCUGCUGCCCUUGGCUCCAAUAGAGGACUUCCAAGUAACUAGGAAGAUUUCACCUCUCUUUUGAAACAUAAUGGACAAAUGUGUUUCUUUAGGAUGAGAGGUGCACCUGGCUAGUCAAUCUUUAUUUUCCUAAAAUAAACAGGAUGAAAACUCAAAACAAAAAGAAAUACCUCAUGGGCAAAAGCUCUCCCAAUACAACUAAUACAGACACUCAACAUGGCUUUGUAGAAACUGACCCCUCUCCCAAGUCUUAUGUUUGUCAGAAUUGCAUGCCUAUUUCAAUCGAAGAAAAGUGAUCUGAUCUCUUCAGAUGAAGGUGGGACUUGGAGAUGCUGCUGCCUAGAGUUAACUUGCCAGAGAAAGGAUAAGCAUUCGGGAAGUGCCAGGAUGGGGUAUCAGCUGAACAAUGGCAGGAUCCCUUCUGCCAGUGGGCUGGCUCAGGGAGUAAACCUCCCCGGAAGGAAUUUUGUUUCUCUCUAGAAUCAAAGUGGGCAAAAUGAUCACCUUAUUCGCCUGGAGUGAACCAGGUUGAAACUGAGAAGGCAGACAUGGGUGAUAAGCCAGAUGAAGUCAUAUGUUAUAACUAAGCUAUGUACCUGUAACUUGCCUGGUAGUUUUUUCAUUCUCUCUAAACAGGUCAUAAUAAGUGUUAGUCUGUGAUCCACUAUGGAGAGAGAUUUCUGGAAAGAAUAGAGGCAGUGGUAGAGGGUCCAAGGUUGUUAUUUAAGGAGAUGAAUGUGGGUCAGGUGCCGUGGCUCACACCUGUAAUCCCAGCAUUUUGGGAGGCAGAGGCAGGAGGAUUGCUUAAGGCCAGAGUUCAAGACCAAACUGGCCAAUAUAGUGAGAUCCCCCCCCCAUCUCUACAAAAGAUAGAAAAACUUAGCCAGGCAUGGUGGCAGGUGCUAUAGUCCCUGCCACCAUGGGACUACAGCUCCUGCAGUCCCAGCUACUCAGGAGUUGAGGCGGAAGGAUUGCUUGAGCCCAGAAGUUCGAGGUUGCAGUGAGCCAUGAUCAUGCCACUGCACUCCUCCGUGGGUGACAGAGCGAGACCUGACUCAAUAAUAAUAAUAUUAAUAAUAAUGAUAAUGCAACACAAACUAUCUUUUACCUCUUGAACAAUGAAUGCAGAUGCCAUGACUACAUCUGUUUGUUGGGGACCAGGGAGGCUGCCAGUGAGGAUUCAGGGUGGAAGUAGUGUGUACCCAAUACCUAUUGUGAGAUGUGGCCUGGGGAGCCCUGAGAUUGCCUGGCCAGGCUCACUCACUACCCAGACACCCUCUUCCUGCAUGGCGAGUCCCUCAGCCCCUCCAAGGCUCAAUUCUCAGACAUCGGAGUAAUCCACAUCCUCCAUCUUGAGUUACUCCUCACAAGGCCUGCAAGUUUUCCUAGGAGGAAGGGAAGACAGGGUUGAACCCACACAAUUCUAGAAUCUAGAAUUUGGAGGAUUUCUAAACCAUUUCUGUAAGUCAGCCCUUGAGAACUUGUAGAUUUUCUCAUCAUUUGCAGCAUGAGAGUCUGGAGUAGACUGUUUGGAUUUGACUCUUGGUUCCUUGGGCAAGUUACUUAACCUCUCAGCUGUGUGUCAGUUUCCUUAUCUAAAAAGUGUGGUUAAUAAUAACUGACCUCUCAGAGGUAUUGUGAGGUUACUGUGAUGAUUAAAUUAGUUGAU